rnacentral:rRNA from 1 species
UACGUAGGGUGCAAGCGUUAAUCGGAAUUACUGGGCGUAAAGCGUGCGCAGGCGGUUUUCCAAGACAGAUGUGAAAUCCCCGGGCUCAACCUGGGAAUGGCAUUUGAGACUGGAAGGCUAGAGUGUGUCAGAGGGGGGUAGAAUUCCACGUGUAGCAGUGAAAUGCGUAGAGAUGUGGAGGAAUACCGAUGGCGAAGGCAGCCCCCUGGGAUAACACUGACGCUCAUGCACGAAAGCGUGGGGAGCAAACAGG